rnacentral:rRNA from 1 species
UUCGUGUGAACAGUGGUUGAUCACGAGUUAGUCGGUCCUAAGUUCAAGGCGAAAGCCGAAAAUUUUCAAGUUAAUAAUAAAAAAUAAGUAACAAUGUAUUAAUUUAUGUAAUUUUAUGUAUUAUGCACUUGAAUAAUUUUGAACGAAAGGGAAUACGGUUCCAAUUCCGUAACCUGUUGAGUAUCCGUUUGUUAUUAAAUAUGGGCCUCGUGCUCAUCCUGGCAACAGGAACGACCAUAAAGAAGCCGUCGAGAGAUAUCGGAAGAGUUUUCUUUUCUGUUUUAUAGCCGUACUACCAUGGAAGUCUUUCGCAGAGAGAUAUGGUAGAUGGGCUAGAAGAGCAUGACAUAUACUGUUGUGUCGAUAUUUUCUCCUCGGACCUUGAAAAUUUAUGGUGGGGUUACGCAAACUUCUCAACAGGCCGUACCAAUAUCCGCAGCUGGUCUCCAAGGUGAAGAGUCUCUAGUCGAUAGAAUA